UAUCCCUCAGGAUCGCCGAAGCUCGCAGCAGUUUCAUCGGGUAGAGCGAAUGAUUAGAGGCAUCGGGGCUAUUUUUAGCUUCAACCUAUUCUCAAACUGCAAACCGGUGACAUGUGGUCAGCGAUUUCUUGAUUGAAUCGUUGAUGCCGUAAGGCUGAAUGCAUGAGUUUCGAGUGGGCCGUUUUUGGUAAGCAGAACUGGCGAUGCGGGAUGAACCG
rnacentral:ncRNA from 1 species